CCUCAAGUAAACUUUUUUCACAUUGUCAUUAUGGGGUGUUGUGUGUAGAAUUCUGAGGAAAAAAAUGAAUUUAAUCCAUUUUGGAAUAAGGCUGCUGUAACAUAACAAUGUGGAAAAAGUGAUGCGCUGUGAAUACUUUCUGGAUGCACUGUAUAUAUAAAUAACAGACACGUAAUUUCCCCUUGGGGGGGUUGAUAAAGUUUAUCUAAUUUAAUCUAACUUUCUAGUCACAGUUCAUUAGAUGGUAAAAAACAAAGGUGAUUUGCAACUUAGAAAAGAAAGAGCUUAAUGACGCCCGAAUAGCUUUCAUCCGUCAUGCUAGAUGUGCUACACAGCUAAAGUGUUGUUACAUUACAGUUUCCUCCUUGGCUCAAGUGUUUCGUUGUUACGUUUUGAAUAUUAUCACCCAUUUUUUAUUAAAUGUUUUGUCUGUUUGAUGCGUUAUUGAAUAUUAUUUUGCAUUUCUAAUAAUUUAUCCAUUGGUUCUUGAGAAUAUGUGCCUUGUUUUAUUUAUGCUAAGCCUGAGGAGGGCAGAGCAGAGCCACAGUAUCAACAUCAAUGGUUUUUAUAAGUGUGUGGUGCUUCAGUUUGCAGGAGACAUGGGAUGAAGGUAUGAGGGAUGGGUGAUAUCAUGGAUAAUAUGCAUCGGUGCAAGAAAAAACUUACAAUUUGUAGAAACAUAACAGGGAGAUGUGUGGCUGUUAAGGAUGAGACUUGGACAUACUGGAUUGAAUUCAACAUUUGUAGUCAUGGCAAAACAUGAUAAUGGCACGUGUGAAGUAUGUAUGUGAUCAGAAAUGGUAAUGCAUAACGCAUAAAACAUGCGAUAAUUGUUUUCCCAAGUGCAGUAUCGAACAAGUAAGAAUAUUUAAGAAAAUGAUGUGGCAUACAAGAAGAUUUGGAGUGAGAGAAAUUUUAGGAGUUAAAAUUUGGUCAAGUAAGAAAUGUGGUGCGAUACGUGAAUUUUUAGUUAAAACAGGCCUGGGUGGGAGAAUCUGACUUUGCCAUACUCACCCCACAGUCCAGUAAAGAAGAUACAGUAGCAGUAAUGCACUGUCAAAUGGGAUGCGGAACUCCAUAAAUAACAAGACGUGCUUCAGUUCAGCAUUCUGUUUUGGUCAGUCAAGUCCUGUCCUGGUGUUUGUAACGAGUCAGAAUCACAACAACAUACCAAACUGAAGCACUGCAGUGUCUUCUGGCUGUUAAAAGACAAGGGGAGGGGCUACAGCUGCAACAUCAGCAGGCACCGCCCCCUAAGGCUCUGCAUAAAGAAAACAAAGCACAUUUUCUAAAGAACCAAUAAAUAUAUUAUUAAGAAAUACAAUAAUUAACUAACAAAAUAAUAUUUACUAAUUCAUCAAACAUAUUCAAGAGCACAUUUAAAAAAUAUUUAAGGACAACAAAAAGAAUUAAAAGAAAAGACACUUGAGCCAGAAAAAGACAAACACUGAUGCAACCCUUCAUUAACUGUCCUGCAUUAUUUGUUCAAAAUUGUAUGUGUGUUACUUUAUAAAACAAUUAUAGAAUUGUACAAACUGUGCAUUUUAAAAAUGUAUAUUACUGUAUUAUAUUAGAAAAUUAUAUAAACAUACUUACCAAGUUAUAUUUAUUAUCCUAAUAAAAAGAACUGAUAGAGUGAACUAAUUUGGGGUUGUCA